CAGAAUUACAUUAACUUUUGCCAUCUCUUCAUCCUUAUCCUCAUCCACAUCCUCAUCCUCUGCCAGCAAAAUUACAACUUUUGUUAUCUCCUCCUCAUCCGUCGUAACCCAUCAUCACCACCGCAAACUUGUACCGGUCCCCGUCGUAUCUCCAGACAAUUCCUGGUGCUACCCCGCCUCCAAACCCCUUCCCCCACCGUCUUUCUCCCGUCAAAACAUCUAGCUGGAAUCUACUUUCCUUGUUGAUUUUACCAUCUUCACCAUCAAUCUCUUUUAUCUGUUCCAUCUCGUUCACCUCUCAAAUCCAACAUUAAAAACCCUAACUCAAACAUAGAUUUAUUCAACUCCAACUAAAUUAGUUAAAUCUCUCAACACAAAACACACAAAAUUAGUCUAACUGUAAUAUAAGAAAUCCAACAAAUGAAAGAAAAAAAAAAGGAAAAUUAUUAUUGUUCACCAUCGCUUUUUUAACACUAAAACCCUAUCUUUUCGCCAGAAAAUAUUAUGGUUUACAGAAAGUGGGUCAUGGCGAAGCAAGUUAAAUUUUGAAUCUUGUCGUGUGGGAUGCUCUUCUCGCCGAACUCUCUAACUAUCGAUCUGGGUUACGUCCUAGCCGCUAUAGUUAAUCUUCUUCUCUAUUUUCAGCUUUAUUUUGAGAGAAUUCAUGCCCAAAUUAGGUGAGAGUUCUUGUUAAUUGGAAAUUUAGGGAAGAAUGAAUAAAUUGAUUUUUAUUUUAUGAGUUUGAUUUGGGCUAACAUAGCUUAAAUCUGGCUACAGACGAUUAUGGGGGAAAAGAAAAGAAAAUUUGAAAAAAGAAAAGGAAAGGAACAGGAGAAUCUGGCUAUGAAUGAUUGGAUGAGAGAGUGAAAAUUAAUUUUUUUUGUUUAUUACGAGUUUAAAUAAUCUUAUUAGUUUUUUAAAGUAAUUUUUAAUUUUUUA
rnacentral:lncRNA from 1 species